rnacentral:lncRNA from 1 species
AUUAAAUAGAAAAUUCCAGAAACAAACAAUCCACAAGUUGUAAGUAACUUUUAUUACAUUAUAUUAUUAUAGUCAUUUUAUGAUUAUUAUUGCUAAUCUCUGUGCUUAAUUUGUAAAUUAAACCUCAACAUAUGUAUAUACAAAGAGGAAAAAAAUAGAGUACAUAUAGGAUUUGGCACCGGGUGUGGUUUCAGGCAUCCACUGGGGUCUUAGAAUGCAUCCGUAUGUAUAAGGCGGACUACUGUUUGUCCACAUUUGUUCACGGCUUGGUUUCUUCUCAAGAGCUUCACAGUUGACCUUACAUCACUAAUUGCCAUCGGCAUUCUGAGGAACAGCAAGCCAGUGUUCAUGUCUGGAGAUGAAGAAGGUGCAGGGGAUUGUGGGGAAGUCUGGCCUCAAAGUCGGUUCUAGGCCCGGCUCUCACCCUGCUCUGGUUCUUUGCACACGCCUUUUCUCUUUAGAUGGUUUCUACUCACACACAAGGAAGGGAUGGGAAGUGAGUUGCAGGACCUCUGGCUCCAAAAUUCUAAAUCUGUAAGCUCCCAAAUUCCAACCACCUGCACAGCACUCUAGGCUCUCUCUAAUUGGAAGGAAGUUUACUCCUUCUCCUAUGGAGAACAUGAAAUGGAAGUCAUGUUUUGUGGCAUUUGCCUCUAAAAUUAGGCUUUCUAUUUUGUUGACUUUUAUAAAAUGCAUACCUCUUUUGUUUAGGCAUUAUUGUAAAAAUUGUUUUUUUUAAUAUAAUGUCAUACAUUUUUCUGUUAAUAUCGUACUAUAAUCUGAUAAGGUGGCUUUGUAGAUAAGAAACUGAAACUAAGAGGAGUCUUAUAAUAACAUUCAUCUACAGCCACGCAGUUCUCUUGGUUAAGUUAGGGCUCGGACUCAGGCUCCUUGACUCUAAAGCUCACACCCUUGAAUAAUUCCCUGUAAAUCUGAUUAAGUAGGGUAUGACUGUACUGCACAUGUCUUCUCUGAGCCUGUGAUAGGGCUGCUUAUCUUUGCUAGCUUUUACUGUUAAGAAGCCGCUCCAUCAUUGUGCAACCGGGAAGCGCACAUGCUCUCUGUAGGCCUGUCUGAUGUGCCUCUGAUCUCGUUCCCCGUCACCCUCAUGCAUUCCUGAUGGCUUAUUAGAAACUCAGACCCUCGCUUGCUCAUGCUUUUUCAUAACAGUGGCUGCAUCUCGUGCAUGUGGAUUCUUGGACCCUGGCACAUGAUAGGUUCGUGGUAAGUGCUCAAUAUUGGAAUGCAUGAAAUCAUGAAUCUCUGCACCACUUAAAUGCAAUCACAAUUCCAAAUACAAAUUUAAUUUGGACUCAAGGAACAAUGCCAUUUCUAUGAAGAAGGCUAAAAAUAAACAAUGAAAUUACAUUUAUCUGAACCAGGAAUAAAAAAAAAUGCUGACUGCCGGGGCAUUGCCAGUGUUGCCAUUUCCAGAUCCAUUUUGCUUUUUUUUUUUUUUUUUAAACCAGUGACUAUGUAGCUACAGCCCUGGAGCAGUGAAUAUGGAUGACAGGAAAGACAAAGAGCUGAGACCAGUGGAGUUCAAAACAUUCUCUCUGGAAAUGCUCGAGCUCCUUUGCUUCGAAGGUUUGGAGAAAUUUGCCAAAACUACACUGAUUGCUGAUUCAGAGAAACUGGUCUUAGGAAAGCUCACAUUUUUGUUUCCUGAUUUUUUUUUUUUUACAGUGUGGUAUUAAGCAUCAAAGAUAAACAGGCUAGAAACAUAUGGAUUGAAUUUUCCAUGAAAUGCAUGAGUUUUGAUAUAAAGGGGACACGUCCUUCAAAAAGAUAAUUUGGCCUCUACAAAACCAGCAUAUUUAAGAACUCCUUCCAUAGACUUUGGCAAAAGCAAGACCCACUGGACUCCUCCAGCCCCAGCAGCUUCCCCUUCAGUCCGUACCCCUGGCAGCCGGGCCAAAUGAAAUAGAGAACUCAGCAUCCUCCGAGGGGGCUGUCUGCCAGCCUCAACCCUGGAGAUAUGGUCAAGGGCUUCCAGCUGGUCCUUGGAGCCAAGAGUACAAUUUAAAAAUGCUGCAGUCGCUUAGCAUGUCUGCUCCGGGUUACUUGGAGAGACAGUCGUGUGGGAGCUGCCAGGCUGAGAACAGGAUCCAUGCCGUCAACUAUUUGCAAAAGCUCAGCUUCCUUCUGCUGGGGCCAGCCUCUUCCCACCCCAGACAGUCUGCUCGAGGACAAAAAAACAAGGACAAUCGUCAAGUUAAGAGUGCUCCCUAAGAAAGUAUGGCAGGUGGCAAGAAAGAUUCUUGGCCACUGAGUUCCAGCCAAAACAUUCGGCGUUCUUCCUCCUGGGGGAGGCACUGGGAGCCCGUGGUGAGUCAUCAGAGGGUGGGGGGGGGGGUGGCAGCGGAGUCCAGCUGCUGCUGAGCAGCUCGCCUGCUGCUGAUGAAAAUUAGUCAAUUCUUGGAAAGAGGAAAGAGCUCGGCUUGCCCUGCUGCCCACUUCCAGAUCCUCCUGUGGGCCUUGGGCUGGGGAAUCAGUAAUCUAGUGGAAUGCAGUUUAUUCUGCUCAGGGCACGCAGGGUGGUUUCCUUUCUACUUAGCCCUGAUACUAGGCCCAGGGAGGAGGUAUGUAUGAGUCAGACUCUGACCCCAGGAGACUUACAGGUUCCUGCAAAAUUCCCCUGGCUGUGCUAUGGAACAUUAGUCCUUGGAGAUGAACCAUUAAAACUGCCUCAUCUGCAAAUUUUAGGAGAUGUUGAAUCCCCUUUCAUUCUUCAUGGAGAUGCACAGUAUAGGGUCAUCCUAUCAAAGUAGCUCACACUUAAAGACCAACAACCCCACCCCUCCUCCUUUUCUCCUAAAACUAUUUCCCAGAGCAACUUGGAAAAUAAUAGCUUAGUACAAAGAUCCAAAAUUACCUUUUUGUGAGAUAAAUAUCAUAUUUACAGGUAACCACAAGGUGUGGACCUGGCAGAGGAGGAAGGUGGGGAGUCAGAAGGACCCUCCUGGAGAUAUGAUGCUCUCAGGAGGUUUGACCCAAGAAGGAAAGUGUUCUAGACAGAAAAUAUGGGGAUGAAGGGAAGAAGAUUCCAGGGAAAGAGGACGACUUGCAUGGGAAUGCAUAGCCUGCGGGGAGAAAGCCCUUCCCCGUGGGGCCUGAAGGGAGGAACGGGGGCGGAGUGGGGAGGUGAGUGGGAAGAACAGCAGCCAGGGCUGGAAAGGGCAGGAACCAGGUGCUCAGAUUUCCCCAGGCCACCUCAGUGACCUGAGCUGCAGGUGUGUGUAAAAACCUGGGAAGAGGGCUCUCUCUGUCCAAGUGCCCGAUGUCUAGCACAAUGUACCUUCUCUACACAUCGCAUUCAUUGAAACUCACAAAAUCCAGUUUUCUGCAAAACAACAGCCUCCGAAGACUGGGAAGCAUGGCUCCUAAUGUUUGGGAACGAUCACUCCAAAAGUACAUUUUGGUUCUGGGCCUGGGGAAGCACGUCUCAUGAGGAACAAGCAGAAGGUAACUCAGUAGCCUGACUUAGGCCCGGGGACCUGUGAGGUGGAGUGAAGUUGAGAAUCCCAAGGGUGAACUAGAGAUUGUCCAGGAAAGAAUGAGACCAGGGUGGUGAUCCUGCUUUAAGGAAAAAUUCAGCGCUGUGUGCUGACCAGGCACGAGGUCCUCCAGAAAGGGGUGAGCUGGGGUCAGAAAGACUGGCUUCUUGUUCCUGCUUGAGGACAGCAGGUGUGGGCAACGGCUCUCUUGUAGAGUUGGCUGGAGACCAAAAGAGCAUAUUUGUUCCGACACACUGCAAGUUCUCCGUGUUAGCAAGAGCUCAACAUGAGGCUGAACAUUAAAAUCAGUCACAUUGAAAUCUGUAGAUUCAAGAGAAGGGACUGUUGGAGAGCGGGACACCAUCCUGCCUUCUUCAACACAUCCCCCAGGGACCCUGACAUCAACGCAGAGGAAUCAUUUUCGCUUCCAUUUUGCAUGAAUGAACCAAGCCUGGGAAACACUUCCCCAGGUUCUUGCACCUCCUCAGGGACAGAGGCAGGGUGUGGUAGCAGGUCAGUGUGGUUGCAAAGUCCCUGCUCUUUUUGUCCUUUGCCUUCAUCCUGAAACAAAGUUUAUUAAGUGCUCUGGAGUGGUUUGAGUAAAAUCGAUCUGCCCUCCAAAGUCAAGAGCAUGCAGUAAUGGAACAGGGAUGAGAUGGAAAAUGCAGAGGCUAAGUGUUUCCUAAUGGGGCUUCUCGGCAAGGAAGUGUGACAUCGCGCAGAGGCUGCUCCAGAUGGGGUGGCCUUGGAGCCCAGUCAUUUGGGACACGCAGCAAUGGAUACGGUAGUGACCAGGUGAGCUGGAGCCCAUGCACAUGUGGCUCUUACCAUUUUUAGGCCACUUCCACCAAUAUCAGGUGGGUCUGGCUCUGCUUCACGUGAUCAAUAACCCUACCCACCCCACUCCAGAAUCCUCCACUUGGAGGACUAGCCACAUGGGGGAAAUCUUAGAGGCUGAUUCAGACUCUAACUGGACAAUUUCAUGAGAGCAGAGUUUGCUGCCUUCUCUGAGCAAAUGCACAGGUGCCACCCAUGUGGGAGGUGCAAUAGAGAGCUCAGACUGCAUAACAAAAUGCCACCAACUGGCUGCUUUAAACAGGAGCGAUUUAUAUUUACAAUAAGAUAAAUUUGUUUUCACAUUCAGUGCCUAGAAGUCCCAGGUCAGGGUGCCAGUGGGUCUGGCUUCUCCCGAGGCCUCCCUUCUUGGUCUGCAGAGGGCCACCUUCUGGCUGUGUCCUCCCAGGGCCAUUUCUCUGCACACACACACACCAGGCAUCUCUCUUGUUUAAAGGAUAUCAGUUAUAUGAGAUUGGAGUCCCCGGUUGACCUCAUUCAGCCCUAAUUACUUCUUUAAGGCUUUCUCUCUAAAUGUAGUCACCUUGGGGGUGAAGGUUCUGAUAUAUAAGUUUUGGGAGGCCACAGUUCAGUGAACAACAAGAAGAAGGGAUUAUAAUGGGGAAUUUUCAUUGCAAAUGUAUUUAAAUGCAAAAAAAGGAGUCCAGUUUGCAAUGAGAUGUCAUUUAGAAAUGUGUGGUACAGUGGUUCUCAACUCUGUCUAGACAUGGAGUCACCGAGGACCGAUGGCUGGGUCCCAACCCAGAACAGAAAGAACCUCACACACUAGUGUAUUGGGGUUCUUCAGAGAACAGAGCCAAUAGAGUAUGUGUACAUGCAUGCAUGUGUGUGUGUGUAAAUUGAGAGAGAGAGAAAGAGAGAAAGACAGAGAGAGAAAGAGAGAGAGAGAGAGAGACAGAGAGAGAGAGAGAGAGAGAGAGAGAGAUUGAUUCUGAGGCUUCAAGGAACCUACUCAUGAGAUUGUAAGUUUGGAAAGUCCCGAAUCUGUUGGCAACCAGCAGCCAGGAGACCCAGCAGAGUUGAUGCUACAUCUUGAGUUAGACCACCUGAAGGCAGAAUUCCACCCUUCUGGGGAGAAGUCAGACUGUUUUAUCUUGAGGCUUUCAACUGAUUGGACAAGUCUCACUCACAUUAUGGAGGUGAAUCUACUAUACUCAGAUUGAAAAAUCUCAUCUAAAACAUACCUUUAUGAAAACAUUCAGAGGGAUGUGGAUGUUUGAACAAACACCAGGGCACCAUGGCCUGGCCAAGUUAAUAUAUAAAAUUAACAUCACAAAUGCUGUUCUUCAAUAGUGCCCCUGCUGAUUCCAACGGAGAGUCAGGGUUGAGUACUGCUGAUACAGAACCAGAACUUUCAGAGGCAAGAAAUCUGAUCAAACCUGACAUACGGGCUCUCCACCCUGCCUGAGUCUCCCUCAGUUCCUUAGUUUCUUCUCUUCUGCCUACCUAUGGUGCUCCUUGGCUACACAUUCUAAUUUUCUGAGAGCAUUAAAAAUUCUGAUGCUCAGGAUCACUGCCAGGGAUAUUUGUUUAACUUGGUAGGGAGUAAUCAAAAAAAUCACAAAUGCAAAAUGCAGCCUGGAUGUCAAGGGCUUGGAAACGUCUCCAGGAGAUUCUAAUGGGACUGCCAAGUUGAGAACAGCCGUUCCAGUAGCUCCACGUAUUUACUGAAACUUCAACUUUACUUGGGUUGCUGAGAAACUUACCUUUGCAGCUCCACCUUGUUUGUAGAUCUUGCCUGACAUGGGAGUACAGGACUGUGGAUGGGCUUGGAUAUUUAUUUCUGCCACAAACUCUGAUUGACCAGUGUCCCUGAGGUGCCACUGUGAGCAUCCAGCCGAUCCCUCAGGGAGAACAGGAUGGAGACAGUGGCACUGCUCAAGGAGUGACAGUGAUUGGAGCAAGUGGAGGUCAGUGUCUCCAGCACACACCGUGCUGCUUGCUGGGCCGGGGGGGGGGGCGGAAUCUGUGUGACCAGGGACUUCUCAAGGUGGGAAAGGGAAUGGGGAGAGGUAUCCUGGGCUAGGCCAGAGCUGCUCAACCGGCCCAGCCAGGCGUGGGGUGGGCCACUCCGGAAGUGGCAGGCGGUCUGGUGCUGGUGAGUCACUGGACUGCUGGACAGUGGGUGAGAUUAGAUGGUAAGGAGCUCUGAGGGCCAGAGUGAGGGGUGGGGACUUCUCCUGCACCUCCUAAGGUCACCACGACAGAGAGCAUUUACUGAUGUUUUGACAAACAAUAUCUGAGGCAGCACUGGGAGGAGGAAGGACAGACUCAAAGGAAAGUUCUAGAAACAAUCAAGGUAAACAAUUCUGAGGACCUGGAUCAGGGAAUUGCUUAUGGAGAUGGACGGGCUAAUGGGAGGCUGGAGACAGGGGAGCCAGUCGAGGGGCAGGGCCAGAGUCUGCUCCAAGGGCUCCCACGUGUGUGCACAUACAUGUGCACACGUGCACACACUGCAGAUGGGAUGUGCCAGGCCUCACGCCGGGCACUGUGACAGACACGGUCACUGGCCUCUCUGUCCUGUCCUGGGGUGUGAUGGAAACAUGAAAGGGAGAAAGCAGCCUCCUGGACUCCAGGCUGCAGGGAAAGUGUCCAAGGAAGGACCAUCUGAGUCGAGGCCUGAAAAGUGAGUUGGAGUCCGGGGAGAAGGGCAGCUGGGGGCAGGAGGCUGGGCAGCCAGCAGAGGGACUGGCAGCAGGAAGUCAGGAAGGAGGGCCUGUGGGCCAGUGUGUCGUCUCCGUGGAAUGGGCUCCUCCUGAUGGCACAUGGGUGUGCGGGGACCGUGGUGGGCAUCCCCACCUGGAGAGGGAAGCGGGGGCAGAUCCAGUGACGCCAAGACGCUGAGCAAUGCAGUGUGCACACACCACCCGGCAAGCCGUCUGCUCAGCAGCAAAGAAAGGGGCAAGGAACUGUGGACAGAUUGAAUGACAGAGGGACAAUGCUCCUCUUUAUAAAAUGAAUCCGAAAAUGCGGGACACUUUGAUCAUGCAAAACUGUGAACAGUGAGGCUCUAGAUUCUCAAUAGACGUCACCUUAAGGAAAAAUUCAAACUCUUUGAAAUGACGGUUCCCUCUCCAUUCUCCCUUGGCAUCUCCAUCGUCUAUCUGGGGAACACCUGCUUGCCCUCUGUGUCUCAUUCAUGGGCCGACUUCCCUGAGAAACUAUCUCAACUUCCUCAUAAGACAAAGUCAGGUGACCCCUUCCCAAAACCAAAAUGGCACCCCUAUUUGAUCAUGUGUCAGGCAGUAUUCAGAGCCUCAGCUCAGAGUUCUGGCUGCUCCUUCAGCUGGGAACUGGGGUGGGUCCAUUCCUAAUCCCUGGAGCCCAACGCUACCACAGUCAAUAUUGAUGGACACUCGUCUAUCUGUUCACCCCCCUCAA